rnacentral:rRNA from 1 species
UAAGGUAAUACUUACUGGAGGUCCGAACCCACGCACGUUGAAAAGUGCGGGGAUGAGGUGUGGGUAGCGGAGAAAUUCCAAUCGAACUUGGAGAUAGCUGGUUCUCUCCGAAAUAGCUUUAGGGCUAGCCUCGAGGUAAAGAGUCAUGGAGGUAGAGCACUGUUUGGACUAGGGGCCCUUCUCGGGUUACCGAAUUCAGAUAAACUCCGAAUGCCAUGUACUUAUACUCGGGAGUCAGACUGCGAGUGAUAAGAUCCGUAGUCGAAAGGGAAACAGCCCAGACCACCAGUUAAGGUCCCCAAAUAUAUGUUAAGUGGAAAAGGAUGUGGGGUUGCUUAGACAACCAGGAUGUUGGCUUAGAAGCAGCCACCAUUGAAAGAGUGCGUAAUAGCUCACUGGUCGAGUGACCCCGCGCCGAAAAUGUACCGGGGCUAAACAUAUUACCGAAACUGUGGAUGAACCUCUUUAGAGGUUCGUGGUAGGAGAGCGUUCUAAGGGCGGUGAAGUCAGACCGGAAGGACUGGUGGAGCGCUUAGAAGUGAGAAUGCCGGUAUGAGUAGCGAAAGAAGGGUGAGAAUCCCUUCCACCGAAUAUCUAAGGUUUCCUGAGGAAGGCUCGUCCGCUCAGGGUUAGUCGGGACCUAAGCCGAGGCCGAUAGGCGUAGGCGAUGGACAACAGGUAGAGAUUCCUGUACCAGUGCUAAUUGUUUAACCGAUGGGGUGACACAGAAGGAUAGGGAAUCGCACGAAUGGAAAUGUGCGUCCAAGCAGUGAGUGUGAGAAGUAGGCAAAUCCGCUUCUCGCGAAGCAUGAGCUGUGAUGGGGAAGGAAAUUAAGUACGGAAGUUCCUGAUUUCACGCUGUCAAGAAAAGCCUCUAGGAAGAGUAGUACUGCCCGUACCGCAAACCGACACAGGUAGAUGAGGAGAGAAUCCUAAGGUGAGCGAGAGAACUCUCGUUAAGGAACUCGGCAAAAUGACCCCGUAACUUCGGGAGAAGGGGUGCUCUAUUAGGGUGCAAGCCCGAGAGAGCCGCAGUGAAUAGGCCCAGGCGACUGUUUAGCAAAAACACAGGUCUCUGCAAAACCGUAAGGUGACGUAUAGGGGCUGACGCCUGCCCGGUGCUGGAAGGUUAAGAGGAGUGCUUAGCUUCGGCGAAGGUACGAAUUGAAGCCCCAGUAAACGGCGGCCGUAACUAUAACGGUCCUAAGGUAGCGAAAUUCCUUGUCGGGUAAGUUCCGACCCGCACGAAAGGCGCAACGAUCUGGGCACUGUCUCAACGAGAGACUCGGUGAAAUUAUAGUACCUGUGAAGAUGCAGGUUACCCGCGACAGGACGGAAAGACCCCGUGGAGCUUUACUGCAACCUGAUAUGGAAUGUUUGUACCGCUUGUACAGGAUAGGUAGGAGCCGAAGAGACGUGUGCGCUAGCAUACGAGGAGGCAAUGGUGGGAUACUACCCUGGCUGUAUGACCAUUCUAACCCGCCACGCUUAGCGCGUGGGGAGACAGUGUCAGGUGGGCAGUUUGACUGGGGCGGUCGCCUCCUAAAGAGUAACGGAGGCGCCCAAAGGUUCCCUCAGAAUGGAUGGAAAUCAUUCGCAGAGUGUAAAGGCACAAGGGAGCUUGACUGCGAGACUGACAAGUCGAGCAGGGACGAAAGUCGGGCUUAGUGAUCCGGUGGUUCCGCAUGGAAGGGCCAUCGCUCAACGGAUAAAAGCUACCCCGGGGAUAACAGGCUUAUCUCCCCCAAGAGUCCACAUCGACGGGGAGGUUUGGCACCUCGAUGUCGGCUCGUCGCAUCCUGGGGCUGUAGUCGGUCCCAAGGGUUGGGCUGUUCGCCCAUUAAAGCGGCACGCGAGCUGGGUUCAGAACGUCGUGAGACAGUUCGGUCCCUAUCCGUCGCGGGCGCAGGAAAUUUGAGAGGAGCUGUCCUUAGUACGAGAGGACCGGGAUGGAC